rnacentral:miRNA from 1 species
UUUUGUGUUUUUUUUUUUUG